UGUCCAUUUCCCCUCCCGGGGGGGGGGGGCGAAGGGAAGGAUCAUUACUGAUUUGCUUAAUUGCACCACAUGUGUUUUUUAUUGAACAAAUUUCUUUGGUGGCGGGAGCAAUCCUACCGCCAGAGGUUAUAACUAAACCAAACUUUUUAUUUACAGUCAAACUUGAUUUAUUAUUACAAUAGUCAAAACUUUCAACAACGGAUCUCUUGGUUCUCGCAUCGAUGAAGAACGCAGCGAAAUGCGAUACGUAAUAUGAAUUGCAGAUAUUCGUGAAUCAUCGAAUCUUUGAACGCACAUUGCGCCCUUUGGUAUUCCAAAGGGCAUGCCUGUUUGAGCGUCAUUUCUCCCUCAAACCCCCGGGUUUGGUGUUGAGCAAUACGCUAGGUUUGUUUGAAAGAAUUUAACGUGGAAACUUAUUUUAAGCGACUUAGGUUUAUCCAAAAACGCUUAUUUUGCUAGUGGCCACCACAAUUUAUUUCAUAACUUUGACCUCAAAUCAGGUAGGACUACCCGCUGAACUUAAGCUUGAAGAGAUAGAGAGAAGGAAAUUUGGCCCG
rnacentral:rRNA from 1 species